UACGUAGGGUGCGAGCGUUGUCCGGAAUUAUUGGGCGUAAAGAGCUUGUAGGCGGUUUGUCGCGUCUGCUGUGAAAUUUCGGGGCUCAACCCCGAACUUGCAGUGGGUACGGGCAGACUAGAGUGUGGUAGGGGAGACUGGAAUUCCUGGUGUAGCGGUGAAAUGCGCAGAUAUCAGGAGGAACACCGAUGGCGAAGGCAGGUCUCUGGGCCGGAACUGACGCUGAGGAGCGAAAGCGUGGGGAGCGAACAGG
rnacentral:rRNA from 1 species